ACCCGGGACCAGGGCCUGCACGCCGCGGCGGACCGGUGACAAGUCAGGUGGAGAAGCUCAAGUCUUGAACUCUGCUUGGUUUCCCAGGUACAGGCUAGACCCCACCCACGAUGAUCACUGAAUCACCAGGUGCUGAGGCCUCUUUCUGUUGUCAAGAGCCAGAGACAACUGAAAGAGCCAGAGACAAUUGAAAAUCUUGGAUGUGAGUCAUGGAAAUGAACCUGAACUGAGAGUUGCUUUCCAAAGACUAUCUCACCACUGGGAUUCAGGCUGAACAAAGGAGUUAGAUUCACUAAAAAUUGAGGAUGAAAGUCUAGGUGACUUUCUGGUGGCUGUGCAGAUGAGAAGUCGGACAGUGGCACUGCAGUUUGCUCUGAUUGACUCUGGAGCCUGUGUUUGAAGCUACAGCAAUACAACAGUCUGCUCCAGCGCUGAGCUUGUAGGAAGGCGACCACUCCAGGCCGACUCAAUGGCUUUAGCCUCCAGAGUUAUCGUCGUUUGGCAGGAAGUCUUAAAGAACCCCACAGCGUGCCCUUCCGCCCCUGGCACAUCAUAAGCUAUUUUGGGAUGAGUCAUCGGAAUUCUGUGGUUUGCAUAUCCUGAAGGGGAAGAGAAGACACUGUAUGGCUAACAUUUAUUUGAAAUAGCAAGUUGGAAAGAAAAAUUCUUCGAUAAAAGUUCAGCAUUAGGUAAGAAACACCAGAGGCUCUCUCCGUUCUUUUAUGAAGAUUUUGUCUGUAUGUACGUCUCUGACAAUACCAUACAGAAGUAACUCUUCUGCCUGUGCACAGUCCCAGCUUUAUGUACUGCCCACUGAAAUCUGAGCAGGUGUUUAGUAGCAGUAAUUCACAAGCAAUAAGCAAAUGGCUGUUUUUUCAUUGGAGUUUGUGCUAUAGAUGAAGAUCCAGGUCAUUUCUCUGAGACUGCUGGAUAACACCACCAACACUGUCAUUGUACAAUAUGAUGAAGUCCACUCUGUCAUCUGUAACAACAAAAAGUACUGGCCAAGGAAUACAGGGAUUUUUUCUUUAGCGUCAAAGUAGAUGAUGAAGAUGGUUUGUAAUUAAAACA
rnacentral:lncRNA from 1 species